GGGCAGCAAGGCGAUCCUGGAGUCAAAGGAGCCGAGGGAUCAUUUGGCCCCAGAGGACCCCCGGGCCUUGAUGGUAGGGAUGGAUCUGGACCACCUGGAGCGAGAGGACUGAAGGGAGAUCCAGGCUUUCCUGGCUAUCCUGGAUUGCAGGGUGAGGAUGGUGUGAAGGGCAAGUCUGGUGGUCCAGGCCCGAAAGGAAAUCAGGGACGAGGGGGAAAUGCUGGAAGACCUGGCAGAGUGGGUGAUAAUGGAUCAAUCGGACUGCCCGGACACCAGGGCAAUAAAGGACCUCCAGGCAAUAAAACAGAU